UACGGGGGGGGCAAGCGUUGUUCGGAAUUACUGGGCGUAAAGGGCUCGUAGGCGGCCAACUAAGUCGGAUGUGAAAUCCCCAGGCUCAACCUGGGAACUGCAUCCGAUACUGGAUGGCUUGAAUUCGGGAGAGGGAUGCAGAAUUCCAGGUGUAGCGGUGGAAUGCGUAGAGAUCGGGAAGAACAUCAGUGGCGAAGGCGGCCUGCUGGGCUGUUGCUGACGCUGAGGCGCGACAGCGUGGGGAGCAAACAGG
rnacentral:rRNA from 1 species